rnacentral:rRNA from 1 species
GUCCACGCCGUAAACGAUGGAUACUAGCUGUUCGGAGCAAUCUGAGUGGCUAAGCGAAAGUGAUAAGUAUCCCACCUGGGGAGUACGUUCGCAAGAAUGAAACUCAAAGGAAUUGACGGGGGCCCGCACAAGCGGAGGAGCAUGUGGUUUAAUUCGAUGAUACGCGAGGAACCUUACCAGGGCUUAAAUGGGAGACGACAGGAUUGGAAACAGUUUUUCUUCGGACGUCUUUCAAGGUGCUGCAUGGUUGUCGU